CUGUCACGCCCCGGGACCGAUGCCAAUUUGGCCCGACCCGAGCACGACAAACAGACGCCGAACGGACAGAGUUUCCCCUAUCCGCCCAAGGCUCAUCACACGUACAUUUUCAUCAUUAGAGAAAAGCACUAGCGGAAACAUACACAAACAGCUUACACGAGGGUAAGCAAUAGCCAUAAGUGAAAGAAAGGAAAACUAAACAUUCACAAGUAAUAUGAUUCAUUUUAGAUCAUAUACAUUACAUCCAUCUUUUACAUUUAAGAUUCUUGCUGUUCUUACAUAAUCUCAUCAUUUCUUUCUUACAACACAUUUACCUCAAAAUAAGCUUUACAUUCUUUCUUUACAUCACAAAUCAUCAAAUACAAAAGAUGAUAAAAGGGUGUCUACUAACAAAAUGUAAACCCAACUCUGGUGGCCUCUGACUAAGGCGCGAUACCUUUACCUCGGUCGCUCGCCGGCUCGCUCGGUCCCGGCUCUGUGGAAAUAGUGGGGUGAGAACUACAACAAAGUUCCCAGUGGGUUCGGCCUCAAUAUCACCGACUUUCCCACUAGGACUAACUCAGGCAUAAUAGAAAGGAUAAGCUGAAAUAUGGUAACCAAUCUAUAACAU
rnacentral:lncRNA from 1 species